UGGAGAAUCUGGAAUCUUUGUACUUGAAUGACAAUCCCAAUCUACAUAUUCUACCAUUUGAGCUGGCUCUCUGUAAUAAUCUUCAAAUCAUGAAUGUGGAAGGCUGCCCAUUAUCUCAGAUCCCACCUGAGAUAGCCAGUGGUGGGUCGUCUUUAAUCAUACAGUAUCUGAAGAUGAAAGGACCCUACAGAACCAUAUGAAAGAAUCUAUAGGAUAAAAUUGUCAUUGAUCAUUGAUUCCUUUUGCUGGGAGCUCACAUACAUAGUAUGUGCUUGUGUCUCUACAUGUAGAGUUUUCGUAUGAUGCCCUCUGGAGGUGGAGACCUUGCUACAUGAUGUCCUGGUCAGACCUUAAUGAGACCAGAGUGGAGGAGUGGCAGAUAUCACUCUGUGUGUAAAUAUUUAGUAGCUGGCUGAAUCAUACAGAAUUUGUUUUGCAGGACUAGUAAUAAACAAAACACGCCACAUUGUUUUCAACCCGCUUAAUCCUGUGCAUUAAUUAAACUUUUGGUUUGUGUAGAGCUUCUGUAAGACGUAAACAGCUGACUGCAUACACACAGUUAACCACUGGAUAGUUUCACGACCAUGUACAUAUUAAAUGUGUGUGGAUGUAUCAGUGUACAGUUAAUAGUUAACUAUUCUAGCAUCUCUGUGCUUGCUAUUUGUCAAAUACAACAUACUUAAAGGUCCAACCUGAGCAUGUAUGAAAAUCACAUAAUGAAUUAUGUGUCAGUAAUUAAAGUUGUAUUGUUAUUAUAUUAAUUACAUUUGAUUGGUGGAUACUUGGACGUGAACUUCUCAUUGAUACAUUUGAUUGGUGGAUACUUGGACGUGAACUUCUCAUUGAUACAUUUGAUUGGUGGAUACUUGGACGUGAACUUCUCAUUGAUACAUUUGAUUGGCUGGAUACUUGGACGUGAACUUCUCAUUGAUACAUUUGAUUGGUGGAUACUUGGACAUGAACUUCUCAUUGAUACAUUUGAUUGGUGGAUACUUGAAUGUGAACUUCUCAUUGAUACAUUUGAUUGGUGGAUACUUCAACGUGAACUUCUCAUUGAUCGAUAGACUGAAUGUGCUUGCAGCAUUUGAUUAUUAGUUUUUUUGUAGAAAUACAACAAACACACAAACCUGAAUCCUGAACUAACAAGGUGUAGCAAAGCUAUUCAAAAUGUAUGUUUGUGGUGCUGUUUUGUCAAAAAAGUGUGCCCCCAUAUAAUGUUUUUUUUUAUUGUUCCUGUAAAUCACUUUUUCACCAACAAAGUAUACCAGAGAUGGUUUUAGCCUUUUUACUUUUAUUUUGAAAAGGGUUGGUUGGUAAAUGUAACUUACUAUUUGUCAACUUCAGAAGUUGCACAGGUUGUAAUGUUUCACUUUUUACUUGUUUUAUCAGUAGACCUGAUAUACAAAGUAAAAAGUUUGAGACUGUACCAGUGUUCGUGUGUUUUCCGAUUAGCUCGUAAUGUAUGUUUAAAAAGUUUGACAUCAUGCUUGUGUUCAUGUAUUUUCCAUUUAGCUCAUAAUGUCUGGUAAAACGUUUUUUUGUGACUGUGCCGGUGUUUGUGUGUUUUCCGAUUAGCUCGUAAUGUUUAGUAAAAAGUUUGAAACUGUGCCUGUUCAUGUGUUUUCCAGUUAGCUUGUAAUGUCUGGUAGAAUUGACAUCUUCAAUUUUAUGUACUCGUUCAGUAAGUAUUAGAUGAUUGCAAUUUUAAGAUCGUUACAAAAUGUGACUUGAAUGCUACAUUUAAAAAAAUGUAUUUUGAAACUCCAUGUGGUUGAAAUGUGAUACUGUGUUCAGAAACUUUUUAAUUAUAAAAAAAUGUACCACAGUACUACUAUUUAACUUUUUUUUUUUAAUGAUCAGUAAUUUAUAAAAUACUUUUAUCUGUUUCAUCACAUGUUGAUAACUUUUACAGAAUUGGUAAGAAAAUAAUAAAAGAUCAAUUUGUUGAAUUUCAAAAUACAUUAUGACAUGUUGGGUAUUUUUAACUUUUAAAAAUGUAUUACCAUUUUCAAAAUGUUUGAGGUAUUCUCUUUAGAUAGAGAAUAAGAGUUCUUAGAUAUUAUUUCUAUAAAAUAAUUUACCCUUUCUUCAUUUGUUAAGUUUACUAAGUUUUUCCAGUAAAUUUAUAACCUUAAAGUUCCUUAUCCUGAAGAAAGACAACCAUAGGUGGGUAAGCAAUAACUUUACGGACUAACAACAUAAAAUCUGUGGUUCAAUUCCCCACAGUGGACAAAGUGCAGAUAGCCCUUUGUGUUAAAACAACUACUACAGGCUUUGACGAAGUUCUGAUGAAACUGAGAGGUUUAGCAGUAGUACAUAGUGGAUCAGUUCAAUAUGGUAUUGAGUAUCACGAGUUAGAGUGGGUGUGUGGGUGUUUUGUCUGUACCGUGCGAGUUAUAAGAAAUAGUAUGUGUUCUCGUACUGCUAUAGGAAUAUACGUGUUUGUUUUUCUUUGCUGCCUGGAGUCUUGUAUGUUGUUGAGUAAACUCUAAGGGCUGCCAGUUGCAUGUAUGUGUGUGUGUGUGUGUGCAAGUUUGUGUAUAAAACAAAAAAAGAUAUCUACCUAAUUAAAACUGAAUAUGUUUCUAAGUAAAUUCGCGAAGCUCCAUUCUGUAACUUUUAUCUCCCUCUGUUCCUAUCAGCUGCACAAAUGCAGUUGUAGAUGACUGCAAUAUUAUCUUUAUGCUGUAAAUGAACUUAACACUUCAAUAGUGUGAUUAAAUAUUACUCUACCAAAUGUAGUAAAAUGAUAGAUCCCUGUUAUAGAAGAGCUUGAAGUUAUAAAUUCUUUUAUAGAAACUUUCAGCAAUUCUAUUUUUGUGCUUACAAUUAUUUCUGCAGAACUUGAGUAAUUUACAGAUGCCGUUUUCAGGUUAUUACCUGUUUGCUUGGACUUUUUAUGUGUAUGUGAAAUAGUUAUUUCCUAGCUCUUUUGUGGGGGGGGGGGGGUGGCUCCCCAUGAUAGCGUUCAAGCCGAUAGAAGCCAUUAACAUUAAUGAAGCACUUUCUACCUGCUCCAGUGACUUACCUACUAGCCUCAUUUUUGUGCUGUGAAACUUUUUCCAAUGCGGAUUCACUAAUGAGAAAUUCUGGAUCAUAACACGAGGACUUGAUGUAGUUAGAUUUUCAAAAAAAGCUUUAGAAUAAGUGCCACAAUGAAGAUUAUCCAAGAAAAUCAUAUUAGUUGGGUGGGGGAAAAGAAUAGGUAAUUGGAUUAGUGGGUGAGAGAAAAAGCCAAAGGUUGUUAUUAAUGGAGUCCGGUCAAACUGGACCUUUGUUAUUAGUGGUGUACACCAUCUCAGGUAUCAGUGCUUGGGCCUUUGUUUUUUUCUUGCUUACAUUAAUGAUAUUGAUAGGGGAAUAAUUAGUAAAGUUUGCUAAUGCCAUUAAACUCUUGGUUGUUUCUAGCUAUAUUAAUGAUGUUGAGGGACUACAGAAUAACUUCUUGGAUUAUUUAGUAAGUUGAUCAGAUAUUUGACAGAUGACCUUUAAUUAUAGAAAUUUUAAGUGCUGCAUUUGGGUUAUAACUUGGAUCACGUGUUUUGUACUGAUGAGAACCACUCAAAAGCAGGAUUGAAUGAAAUAAUUUUGUCAUAGCGAUGGAUAAAUCACUCAAGCCAUUCAAACUUUGCUCUGUAAAGCUAAUAGAAUUUUAGGGUAUAUUUAUAAAUAUGCUGAUUACAGGUCAAAAGAGGAAAUUAUGUCUUUACAAAUCACUGAAUAGGCCUUACUUAGAAUACUGUGCACAGAUCUGGUUUCCUUAUCUAAGAAAGGAUACUGACUUAUUGAAAAAGGUUCAAAUAAAUAUUUGUGGGAUGAAAGGAUUAUCUUAUGGGGAUAUGUCAGGAUCGCUUUAGAAAAUAAGGGUAAGGGGAUGUCUUGUGGAGAUUUACAAGAUUAUUCAGGGAAUUGAUAGGAUUUCUUUGUGCUGUACUCUGAAGGAUAUAGGAAGGAAGGAAGUUUAAGAUUUGUAAAAGACGGGCUACGUUCCUGUUAAGAGUCUUACGGAAUGAAUGGACAUCAGUACUAGUGAAGAUUAGCAUCUUACAAGAGUUUAAGAAUGAAAUCACUAUUUUUUUGUGUUAUAUUCUGAAGAUAAUAUGAUGAAAGAACACAAGUUUAAGAUUUGUAAAAGACAAGCUACGUUCCUGUUAAGAGUCUUACGGGAUGAAUGGACAUCAGCACUAGCGAAGAUUAGCAUCUUACAAGAGUUUAAGAAUGGAAUCACUAUUUUUUUGUGUUAUAUUCUGAAGAUAAUAUGAUGAAAGGACACAAGUUUAAGAUUUGUAAAAGACAAGCUACGUUCCUGUUAAGAGUCUUACGGAAUGAAUGGACAUCAGUACUAGUGAAGAUUAGCAUCUUACAAGAGUUUAAGAAUGAAAUCACUAUUUUUUUGUGUUAUAUUCUGAAGAUAAUAUGAUGACAGAACACAAGUUUAAGAUUUGUAAAAGACAAGCUACGUUCCUGUUAAGAGUCUUACGGAAUGAAUGGACAUCAGUACUAGUGAAGAUUAGCAUCUUACAAGAGUUUAAGAUCAGAAUCAGUGAUUUUCUGAAAAAUAUGAGUGGGUUUAAUUUAUACCUUUCUUUUUUUUCUUUGGACAGGGUGUGCAUGGACAGGCUUUAAGUACUAAUGGUCCCUUGUUGUCCAAAUAUGAUGUUAUUGUUGUUUUACUUUGUUCUUAUAUUUAUCAAGAUUAUUAUUGCUCUUGUUGCUUGAUAUUUGAGUAAGAUUUUUUAAGGUUUUUGUCAAUUCUGGACGUGCUCACUUUUCUUGAGAUGUGAUCUUUUUAUCAUCUUAGAAGUUUUGAAACACAUUAGUUGAAAGUACUCUAACAGUGCAAGAUCUAUACUGGUUGAAACAUCACAGUGAGACAGUUUUCUGUGCCUUCCGUGCUGUUGUCGCACAUACAUUCCUGGACUGUUUGUGGAGUUGUGCCACAUGAAUAGUGGAACUGUUACACUUCAGACUAGUUUAGAUCUCAAAAAGUUCAUCUUUUUUUAAAAAUUUAAAUGGACUGUUUUAUUUUAUUGUUUCUUUGUAGUGGGAGAUUUUAUUCCAUAGAUAAAUGUUGUUGUUUUUUAAGCAUGCUGUGAUGGCAUGGAUUUUUAAUCACCUCAUUUAGUUUCUAACUGUACAGGCUUCACCAGGAGACAAUAGUUUAGUGAUUCAUCUUUUUGACUUAUGACUAGUUUUAAAAAUUUUUUUGGACAAUGGUUUCAAAGAUUCAAGAUUAAAACUCCUCCUGAAGAUGUAGAAUGAUGCACUAACUGUGAACAAGGAAUGACGUGACACUUUAGAAACAAUAGCUAGCGAAUUUCUGGGUUUAGUGUUUCUCAUACCUCAUGAUUGCUUAUAUGAUUGCAGGGCCUUUUUUUGGUGAAGCUGCUUGAAUUUAUACAGUACUAGAGAGAUAUUCAAGUUAUUUAGUCUGUUCUGAAAACUAAACUGUUAGCUUUUCUAACAAACCUUACUUGAUUAUGAAACAUUACCCAAAUAGAAAAAAAAAUGAAAGCACCAUUCUUCUUGAGAAUGUCAUACUGAGCAUUUGGAGUAAUGGUGAGCUUAUCUGAUUGAGCUUUAAUAGUCAGUAGUAGUAACUCUUUCAUCUGAGCAGUUGGUUUUCUUUUAUGUGAGAUUUUGAAAGUUCUGUACAUAGAAAUUAUAAUAACUAUUGAAGGAUUUAGGCUAACAGAAUGUGAAAUACAAGCGUGUAAAAAAAGUGAAACUGUAACAUGCUUUACUCAACUCUUCAGGGCUGUUGAGAAAUGUUAAUUUCUAUAAUAGAAAAAGUUUUAUCACAAAUUGUAUGUAAA